rnacentral:rRNA from 1 species
GGUAUUUUGGCCGUGCAAAGGUAGCAUAAUCAUUAGUUUUUUAAUUGAAAGCUGGAAUGAAAGGUUGGAUGAAAAAUAAGCUGUCUCUAUUUAAUUUUAUUAGAACUUUAUUUUUAAGUAAAAAAGCUUAAAUUUUGAUAGAAGACGAGAAGACCCUAUAGAGUUUUAUUUAUUUUUUAAAUAAGAUUAAUAGUAUUAAUUAUUUUUAUUUAAAAAAUGAAUUUAGUUGGGGUGAUUGAAAAAUUUAAUAAACUUUUUUUAUAUAUAUACAUUAAUAUAUGAUUAAUUGAUCCUUAAUUUAAGAUUAAAAGAUAAAAUUACCUUAGGGAUAACAGCGUAAUUUUUUUUGAGAGUUCUAAUCGAAAGAAAAGAUUGCGACCUCGAUGUUGGAUUAAAAUAAAAUUUUGGUGUAGAAGCUAAAA